rnacentral:rRNA from 1 species
GAUGAACGCUGGCGGCGUGCCUAAUACAUGCAAGUCGAGCGAACGGACGAGAAGCUUGCUUCUCUGAUGUUAGCGGCGGACGGGUGAGUAACACGUGGAUAACCUACCUAUAAGACUGGGAUAACUUCGGGAAACCGUAGCUAAUACCGGAUAAUAUUUUGAACCGCAUGGUUCAAAAGUGAAAGACGGUCUUGCUGUCACUUAUAGAUGGAUCCGCGCUGCAUUAGCUAGUUGGUAAGGUAACGGCUUACCAAGGCAACGAUGCAUAGCCGACCUGAGAGGGGGAUCGGCCACACUGGACUGAGACACGGUCCAGACUCCUACGGGAGGCAGCAGUAGGGAAUCUUCCGCAAUGGGCGAAAGCCUGACGGAGCAACGCCGCGUGAGUGAUGAAGGUCUUCGGAUCGUAAAACUCUGUUAUUAGGAAAGAACAUAUGUGUAAGUAACUGUGCACAUCUUGACGGUACCUAAUCAGAAAGCCACGGCUAACUACGUG